UCUACGGGAGGCUGCAGUGGGGAAUAUUGGACAAUGGGCGAAAGCCUGAUCCAGCCAUGCCGCGUGUGUGAAGAAGGCCUUCGGGUUGUAAAGCACUUUCAGUGGGGAAGAAAGCCUUGGGGCUAAUACCCUCGAGGAAGGACAUCACCCACAGAAGAAGCACCGGCUAACUCCGUGCCAGCAGCCGCGGUAAUACGGAGGGUGCGAGCGUUAAUCGGAAUUACUGGGCGUAAAGCGCGCGUAGGCGGUCUGAUAAGCCGGUUGUGAAAGCCCCGGGCUCAACCUGGGAACGGCAUCCGGAACUGUCAGGCUAGAGUGCAGGAGAGGAAGGUAGAAUUCCCGGUGUAGCGGUGAAAUGCGUAGAGAUCGGGAGGAAUACCAGUGGCGAAGGCGGCCUUCUGGACUGACACUGACGCUGAGGUGCGAAAGCGUGGGUAGCAAACAGGAUUAGAUACCCGGGUAGUC
rnacentral:rRNA from 1 species